rnacentral:rRNA from 1 species
AUACGGAGGAUGCGAGCGUUAUCCGGAUUUAUUGGGUUUAAAGGGAGCGUAGGCGGGAGCUUAAGUCAGCGGUUAAAUGGUGCGGCUCAACCGUGCCCUGCCGUUGAAAUUGGGUUUCUUGAGAGUGCAAGAGGCGGAUGGAAUUCAUGGUGUAGCGGUGAAAUGCUUAGAUAUCAUGAAGAACUCCGAUUGCGAAGGCAGUCCGCUGGGGCACGUCUGACGCUGAUGCUCGAAGGUGCGAGAAUCAAACAGGAUUAGAUGCCCUGGUAGUCCGCACGGUAAACGAUGAUUACCCGCUGUCGGCGGUAGACAGUCGGCCGCCAAGCGAAAGCUAUAAGUAAUCCACCUGGGGAGUACGCCUGCAACGGUGAAACUCAAAUGAAUUGACGGGG